AUGAGGAAAGCUUUGUCGACGCCAGUAGCCACACACUACCUCAUUGACAUUUGAAAACCUGUGGUAUUAGGUACAAUGUUUGGGAGCAGUUGCUAUUGAUUUGGAAUGAUGCAAAAUAUAGAAAAUACUGUGAGAAGAAUAAAAAGAGCAGGCAGUCGAAAACUGAGGGACCUACAACAAUUUAUCAUGGUGGCACCAUCUCUAUGAUUGAACAUAGAGAUAGACUAAUGGAAUUUUUAGGGAAAGCAUAUGAGGAGCAGAAGCAGCAGAACUAAUACAUCCUUUCUCUAUUAGAAUCUCGAGGUAUUCAGGAAAACUUUGAGACAACUCCUCGUACUUCUCACGCUCCUGCUAGGUCUGGAGAGUUUGCUUCCCAUGCCCAUCACACUUCAGAGGAUGUUGAACAACCUCAGCUUGUCGAUAAUAUUACAA